rnacentral:rRNA from 1 species
CACGGAGUUAGCCGGGGCUUCUUCUGCUGGUACCGUCAUUAUCUUCCCAGCUGAAAGAGCUUUACAACCCUAAGGCCUUCAUCACUCACGCGGCAUGGCUAGAUCAGGGUUUCCCCCAUUGUCUAAGAUUCCCCACUGCUGCCUCCCGUAGGAGUCUGGGCCGUGUCUCAGUCCCAGUGUGGCUGAUCAUCCUCUCAAACCAGCUAUGGAUCGUCGGCUUGGUGGGCCAUUACCCCACCAACUACCUAAUCCAACGCGGGCCGAUCCUUUGCCGAUAAAUCUUUCCCCCGAAGGGCACAUACGGUAUUACCCCCAGUUUCCCGAGACUAUUCCGUAGCAAAGGGUACGUUCCCACGUGUUACUCACCCGUCCGCCGCUAGACCCGAAGGUCUCGCUCGACUUGCAUGUGUUAGGCCUGCCGCCAGCGUUCGUUCUGAGCCAGGAUCAAACUCU